CGUGAUCGUUAGAGUAGAUUGUAGAAGGUUCGGACAGCCCGGACCCGAGCUCUGCCCUUGUGUAAAUGAAUCCUGUCGCAAAAAUGUAAACAUUGAACUGGGAUUAUCAUUUGCUUUAGGCUGGACCGAAUCUUGUACUGGAACAUAAUUGAGGUUUAAUUAAGGCAUUAAAGUAAAGUUUAAUGGAAUUUUAUUGAGUGUAAGCUGAGGAGGUACAUAACUACAGAUGGUGACCAGUGAGACCCACACAUUCACAGACCUUGAGAUGAAUUGAGGUGAUCGUCACCGUUUAUAUAUACUGAGGUAGAACACAAGACUGGCAUCCUCUGGCACUGUGACAACUGGCCUCUACAAGACUACGUGACAUGGCUUCAGUGGUGAGUGAACCUUGGUGAGAGAAGCAAGAUGCCCAGAUAUAAGUACCUGGCCAAGGAGGUGUUGGAACAGCAAAAGGUGGCCAAAGGGAAUGUUCUACUAACUUCAAAGCCUUUUGUAUAUCUUGUGAAUGGAUCUCUCAAAGGGCUUUAUUGUGAUUACUGCCUAAAAAAGAAGAGAAUAUGUACCCUGCAACGCUGCUCGGGCUGCAAGGCAGAAUGUUAUUGUGACAGAGACUGUCAGCGUGGGGCCUGGGAUAUCCACCGAUAUGAAUGUAAAAAUCUUCAACGCAUACAUCCCCUGAUUCCCCCGGACACUGCCAAGCUAAUGGCAAAAGUCAUCUUCAAGCUUAAGAAUGGAGGUGACCAGAUAGAGGAAAAAUUAUCAGAACGGAAAUCAAGAAAAUUCAAGGACUUGAUGAACCACUACACAGAUUUAAAGGACGACAAAAAUCGGCAGGAGCACUUGACUUCACUCAUAGUGGUCCUGCGUAAGUACAUUGGAUCAAACAAUCUUCCUAAUGAAGUUGAUCUGCAGGGCAUAUUUGGCCGGAUAUGUGUUAAUAGUUUCAGUAUUACUGACCAAGACAUGAACACAGCUGGCACUGGGGUCUAUCUGGCAGCCUCAGUGUUUGAUCAUUCUUGUCAACCCAAUUCAUAUGUGACAUUUGAUGGUAAACGCCUCAUGUGCCGUGCAUUGGUAGAUAUGCCAAGUCUAGAUUGGUCCAAGCUUAGAAUAAGUUAUAUUGAUGUGAUGAAUACCACCAUGGACCGUAGAAAUGAGCUACACAGACGCUACUACUUCUGGUGUGAUUGCCGUGCUUGCCAUAACCCUGAACGAGACAAGCUCAUGUCUUCCAUCAACUGUGGUAAUCCAAAAUGCACUGCCCCAGUGCAUAUUGAUGAAGACGAUGACAUGGAUGCACCUGUGGGACCAUGUACUGUGUGUGGCUUCAACGAACUGAGCUCUGACACAAGAAAAAAAUACUGCAGCAUUGCCAAGUAUUGUAGAGAACAAAUGGAAGUAAUGAAAGACAGUUAUUAUCUUGACCUAUCUCAGAGAGGACUAGAGAUGCAAGGAGAUCUCUUUUACAAACUGAAUUUACUACGUGUCAAGUUUCUAGAUGCUGCUUUUGAAGCUGCUAUUUGUGUGGAGAACUGGGACACUGCAAUAAAAUAUGGCAUGCAGAAUAUUGAAGGAGUGAAAUUUUGCUAUGGAGAAGAUCAUCCAAACAUUGGCUUAAUGCUGCUGAAACUAGGCAAGAUUUGCCUUCACGUGUAUCGAACACAGGAAGCAUUGCAGUAUCUGAAGCAAGCGGAGCCCGUAUUACGAGUAAGCCAUGGGACAUCACAUCCAACAUACAAAGAAGAAUUGAUGGCUCUUUUACAACAGGCACAUGAGGAGCUCAUGUUUAUGUCACAGAAGAAGAAGAAAAGGAUAAAUGACAUUUCUGUGGUGAGCUGAGUGUAUCAGAUCAAGUUUAAUGUUUAUUCCAUCCCUAAUAACUACUUACAGAUAUAAUAGUGUAAAUAUUUAUUUCUGUUACAAUAGGCUUAUAUGAUAAUGCAUUAUAUUUUUGUAUUAAUUUGUACUAUAUUUUGUUGUUUUUCGGAUAAUUUUAACCCUUUCAUGACCUGCCGAUAACAGUGUUGGUCAGAGCCAAUGUCAUGUUUAUACAGGUAUCCCCCAAUUUACGAUAGGGUUGCUUUCCUGGAAACCCUAACGUAAAUUGAAUUAACGUAAAUCAGGAGACUUUUAAUGUGGGUUUAAAUGGGAUACGUUCCUGGCUUGUCUGACACAGACAUGUAUCGCAGAAAAAGCUAUCCUACACUAAUUAAAAAAACAAAAAAAAACAUAAACAACACUCACCACAUUAAUAAUAACAAGCCUGCCACUUAACAAUGUCUAACAUUGUCUCCAGAGACAUGGUCUACUCAAAACCUUGACUUUACCAGAAGUGGGAGACUCCGUAGGAUACUUGCUCGCCAUUAUCAAAGAUAUUAAUUACUUCACAGUCACCAAAGCAGAGCAAAAUCUGAAUGAUAUUGUUUUCCUCUCACCAUUAACAGCAAAUAUCACAGCGAUCACAAGGUUAUGCAACAAUAAAUAACGAUAAAGUUGGUUACACUUACGAGGGCAAGUGCGAUCACAUUGGAACAAAGGGUGGCCGAAAGCAGCGUGCAUUUCGGUGAACUGCGUAUAGGGUGGAAAAUCAGUUCCUGCACAUAGCAGCCAUCUUGGAUUUGACCAGUAAAGGGAGGGAUGUGUUGCCCCAGUGUUUACAUUCUGCGUCAACGAAUUUAGCCUCCCGAUAGCUAUCGUUAACUUGGAAUUUGCCGAACAUAACUCUUAAGAGGGUGUUAAAACCUGACUAACAUUAAUGCAGAUUAUUGUAAAUUGGAGAAUCGGGGGAUACCUUCCUGCUGUGCUCAAAAUCUUUGUCAUAAAAUACUGGCUUGUUUAGUCAUCAUUUAAAUACUGGUAGCUUUAUGCUGAGCUUCUUUCAGCAUUGUACCUGAAUAUUUUAUAUUCUAUGUUGGUAGAUGAUGUAUAUAUUUCGUAAAUAUAACUCAUACUAAUACAUUGAUACUUACAGGUACACUGUGAAAAAGAUUUUAGCGAGAUAUUUUUACACUGCAUAAGACUUUAUUUCAGUGAAACUCCUUUUCAUCUGUCAGAUGUGAAACUAUACUACAGUAUGUAAAUAUUAUUAAGAAUAUUGUAUCACAACUAGCAACUAAUGGAAAAAGUGGCUUUGUAGGAGUACAAUGACUGAAUUAGACAGUUUGAUAUGAAAUAGUGAUCAGUUUUAUACAAUUACCGGGUAUAUAAUGUGUACUCUUUUCCAACUGACUGAUUUUUCAUUAGUGAUCCUACACUGACCCCUACUUUGUUUAUGUGACAAUUAUAGAGUAAACUGACCCCUACACUCUUUAUGCGACAGUGUUGGUCAAGUGCGGUGCCGUUACAAUCUUCUUUGGCAGGAUAUUCCAAAAGUUCACUACUAUUACUCCACAAACAUUAGUUCUGACAGUUUUUGUACUUAAGCUUGAGGCUGUAACCUUUAAUGGGGCAGCCAUUUGCUAGCUCCAGAUAAGAAUAUUUGACUGAGUAAUGCCCUUUGAGGUUCUUUUACAUGUUUCUUCAGGGAGACAUGGUUCUUCAGAGGACAUAGUUCUUCUAGGGAUACUGUUCUUCAGGGGAUACACUGUUCUUAAGGGGCUACUGUUCUUCAGGGGACAUAGUUCUUUAGGGGACAUGUUUUUUGUGAUUAUUUUUUUGUUACAGUGUCUGUUUUAGUGUUGGUGAUUUGAGAAACAACAUAAAAAUUGAUACAAGAAUUCAUCUCUUAAUACAAAUUUAGAGACUGUACCAAAGAAGUCAACACUAUUUUAGUUUAGUACCAGCAGUGGGAUGGGAGGAAACCCAGACCUACUCUUAGAGUUUGCAAACAAUCUGCACUCACACAUUAUACACAGCCCAUACUCAAUUCAAAGCUUACUCUAUAGUACAGGGGCAUAUUGUUCUUCAGGGGACACUGUUCUUUGGGAUGCAAUGUUUUUUGGUGGGUAAUGUAUAUUUUGGGACACUUAGUAGGUGCUAGCUAUUGUCAGAAGUUUAAAAUCUGAGCUUGUAUGCAGAUCAUAUGUGCUAGGUAUAAAGACACCAGUGAUAGCUCAGUUGAUGUGAAAGUUCGUGAAAAUUAUUUAGAGAUGUAGCUCAAAAAGUUGAAGCUGACCUGCCCUGUACAAUGAUUUUUUUUCUUUCUGUUCAAUUUUUUGCUUUUUUCUUCCCAAAUACCCACGAGGCCAAAAUUUUUAAAAGUAAUAUGUUAAAUACAGAUUAUGCACCAACUAAUAAUACUGUAUUAUGAAAUGAAUGUUUUCAUAGAAAUAUAAACAGUAAAUGUCUGUAUUUAUGAUGUAAUGAAAAGAGUGAUGCUUAAAGUGGAUAAGGUUAAGUGUGACUUAAUUAAUAUGUUGAAAUGAAAUUACGUACCAUGUUGGUUCAUGGUAAAUCAUCUUCAUUAAUUCUUCAUUGCUUUCUUAAUUCAUGAGGUGGUACAGCUGCACCCAACUUCACAGAAAACUAUGAUAAGCCAAUCAUGAUCAGAAGAGUUUAAAAAAUAAACUUGAAGACCUCUGUAUUUUCUGAAUGGUUGUUUCAUAACUUACAAGUUUGCCCUGAUAUUUUGCAUAAUAAUUUUCAUUAUUUUUAAAAUAUGAAUUUUAUCUAUGAACCCAAAUGAUAGAAGUUAAAGUACAGCAUGCCCUUAAAGUUCGCAGGGAUAUGGUGUCUCAAAAUGACCGCGAAUAGCCACAUCCGUGAAUAUUAUUUGCUGACCAGGGGUGGGGGGAGGGGAGGUGCAUUUUUACUCUUGUACAAAGAAAUGUAUACAUGGGUAUUUCCUUUGUGUUUGCCUUUAGGACAAUUAUUUCUUUUACAUGUAUUGUAUAUAUGUGUGUGUGUGUGUGUGUCGACACACACACACACACACACACACACACACACACACACACACACACACUCAUACAUACAGUAUACAAUACAGGUGAAAGAACGAAUGGCUCUCUGUCCCGGAUGCGAAAAUGCCGGAAACUUUAAAACUACCCGCAGACAUUUUUGGGUACAUCCAGGGUAAUUGAGGACCGUGAAUUAAAGAUCCGCGAAUUGUCAGGGCAUGCUGUAUCACUAAUCAUGGAUGUAUAAUUAUAAAAAAAAAAAAUGAAACAUGCAAGAUUUCUAAGUGAAAAAAAAAAUAAUCAAGUGAAGGCUACAGUAUUAUGGUGUUAGUAUAGCUAAUGUGAGCCAGGUUGAGCUCAAGUGCGUGACCAGUGAAUCCUCUAUUUGUGCAAGAACCUUUUAUGGUAAUAGUAUCCAGUGAUGUAAAUUAUCCCUGCAAUUGUGCUUAGUAUGUACAGUAAAGUCAGGUGUACAGCAGAAAAUCGUUCACGUAUUUAAGAUUUUUAACUCCAUUUGAUUGCUCGCAAGACGUUAGAUUUUCGUUGUUUUUGAAAACCUGGAGGUGAGAUUUGAUUUGAGCAAAUUCAAAUUCGGUAUGCAUGAGGCUAUCCAAGCACUUUAUCCCUUCAUAAUAUAGAGCUUAAUGAAUGCAUGAAGAAAUGACCAGCAACUGGUGGAACAUUAUAUAUUUAUGAAAUAGUGAAGAUAACAAGAAUUUUCUUUAUACCUGGUACAUAAUAUUAAAUGGACAGAAGCCUUAUCAGUGGACUGUGAUUUCUGGAACGUGUAAAUAGAAAAUCUCUCGGAAUGUAUAUGAAACAUGCGUAGUUGUAAUUCUAAUUCCAAUUCUUUUUUAGAUUAUUGAAAAGAAAUUAAUGUUUAGAAUGCUUAUACAUAAUUGAAAUAAAGAAAUAAAUAGUUACCAAGUAGUUAAAAUUUUGAUAAUUAUUUAACCAUUGAAGAAGGACUCCUGGUUCUGAAAAUUUUUCAGCAAUAUGAUUUUAUGUGUUUGACCUUUACUCAUGAUGAACUGGAAUACAGAAAAGUAAUUACAGUAUCUGUUUAUUUUUUGAUAAUGUGUAAGUAAUCCAUCUCCAAUAUAAAAUCUAAUAUACUAUACAGUAGAAUUUAAUUUCGAGGCUUCAGAAGGACAUGCAGUAAUAUUACAUAUUAAAAUGAGGUAGGCGGGUAGUCUUUGAUUACCUCGGAGUUGCGACCCUGCCUUGCCAGCUAUUCCCACCCUGUGGGUUGGUGUUAAGAAGAGCAUCCAGCCGUAAAACUUUGCUUCAACAUACCUGAUGGCAAAUUGGGUCAUCAGAGCUGUGCGCUUACCCUGGUCUCUGCUGCACUUUCUGGGCAGGUACCCUGAGUUUGCAGCGAUGAGUAGAGAGGAACAUCCUGUAAUGGUUUUACCUAUCAACUGCCACCAGAUAAUCAUGACUAACUCACGCAAGUGUGGAAAAUGGCCGUAAAACGUUGAUGAUGAUGAUGAGAUACAGUAGUUGUGUCUGAAAAGAGAGAGUUCUCUAUCUUUGACCCACCCUCAUUUACAAUAAGAUUUGCAGAACCACCUGUGGUUAAGUAGCGGCAGGCCUCACAAGUGGUGGUCUUCUUUGGUCUGCAGGUGCUUGUUGGUCAACAUUGCCUCGUCCGGCGUUCCUCUCUGCUUUUCCUCGUCUGAUGUUCCAAUCUGCCUCUCCCCGUCAUUUGCUUCUCUUCACCUAGCGUCCUUCCCACUGUUUGCCUCUCAUGGUGUAAUGUACCUACUCUAUAUCUCCCCAGUGGUUGAAAUAAUAAUUUUUUUCAGAGUUUAUAUAAUGUUGAAGUUGAUGUAUGUUGUUACAACUCCUCUUUUAAUCUUGUAUAAUGAGGCAUUAAAUAAUAUGAAGCUGAAUUUUGGAUUUCUCAUUGCACAAAAGUCAUUGUUGGUUGCAACUUGGUAUCUCAAAGUACAGCACUAAACAGUACUUUAUUAUUGAAUCAGACUUAUACAGUAGAUUAUUGUACAAUACGUAUUGUGUAUAGAAAAUUAAGAUAUGAAACUCAUAUAGUGCCACUUACAACUGCCUAAUAUAAAAUUGGUUUAAAAUCCACUAAUUCCCAUUAUCCAUGACUUAUUACUGGUAUUAUGACCUACUUACUGUCCAGGGGCCUCAUUCACAGAGGUUUCUAUGAUGUAUACUUCUCAUGAAUGACGAUGUAAGAAUGAUCCUGACUGGGUGACUUUAGCUAAAAUACUCCUGUACAAAAAUAAGAUAAAGGAUAUUACAGUACGGUAUCCCCGUUAGUUGGAAAUUUCAAUCCAUAGAACUUUCCAUUACCCAGAAAAAGAUUGGAGCAUUCCGAGAAAAAUCUCUCCAUUCCGGGCAUUUAAACAAAUUUCUGAGAUUGCAUUAUGCUUCAACGUGUGUACAGGUUUCUGGCAUGUGGGUGGGCUAGCUGCAUGGGGAACUUAGGCCUUAGGCUUGUGUGCUGUGAUUGGCUACUGUACUGUCAUGUGACUAAAUGGGAUACUUGUGAUUGGCUGAUGCAUCUCCCAGCCUAUCUCCUCAAACCCUAGCAUUAUGAUAUACUACUUAGUUCAUAGUCUGCUGCCAUUGUACAUUACAAGCUUGUUCACUCACUCUGUUGUUGUUGCAUAAGGUCUGUGUUAUGCAGUACAGUACUGUCCAUGACUGUACCAGGAUAGAACCAGCCAAGAAUACAGUUAAAGGCAGUGUUAAGACAUAAAAAAUGAUUACAGUAACUUGUAACCUGUACAGUACAUUCAGUAAGUGUGAAAGUACUGUACAUACAGUACUAUGCCUACUGUAGCCUAAUGUGUAGAGGGUGUGUUUACGUUACAAUGCACAGCAUGUGUACAAUGUCAAAAGCUACAGACAAAUCUUGUGGCACUAAUUUGCCACAGUAAAUGGUACAGGACAAAACAGGCCAUCCUUUAUCUGAUAUAAUCAUUUGGCCUGCCUGCAUCACAAGCUCAAGACGACAGCAUCUGCUGGUGAGUGCAGUGCGGUGUACAUAUUGUGUAUCCAGUAGUUUACAGUAUUUUGUUAAUUUACAAUUUAUUGUACGUGUAGUAGUGUAGUCGUGUACAGUAAUGUUUGCAUAAAUAAAUACACCUUUGUGUCUGGCUAAUUAUAGUUAAGCUUUUGUAGCAAUGAUGCAUAAUUUAGACGUGAAAACAUUCACCAGUACCCGGAAAAAUUCUGUCGAUAGAUGAAUUUUUCCAGGGAUAAGAUCAUUCAUCUCAAUACCUGUACCUGGAAAUCUCUCAAACCCAGAAAUGCACUGAACUAUUUGUUCCAGCUUUCAGGGAUAUUACUGAAGAAUUAUAUAGAGACUUCAUUUUAACUUAAUACCCGGUACUUUAAUAUUUUACUGACCAUAGAUUAAGAGGAUUACAUCCUGUAUAAAGUUCUUUGUGAAGAAUUUUACUGGAACUUUAUCUGGUGUUAAGUUAAAAUAUCUAGAUAAGGUAGAGUCGGAGUAUAAUUUUGAUGAUAUAUCUCUGUUAUUAUACCCCUCGUGUACUGGGCCACCUCUGAGUUGAAUAAAAUUGUCUGGCAUGAGCCAAAUAAAAUAUUAAAAGUAGAGUCCCAGUAGUGAAGGGGUUAGUGUUUUAGCCUAAGUCCAACAGUCGAGUACAUUAUUAUAUCUUAAGUAACAAGGGAUAUUCAUCGUAUAAACAUUGGUGAAACCAGACCCUUGCAAGCCUCAUAAAAACUCUUUUGAGAUAAAAACUUUUGGCAAAAAUAAAAUUUGAAUCCACAAAA